GAUGAACGCUGGCGGCGUGCCUAAUACAUGCAAGUCGAGCGAACAGACGAGGAUCUUGCUCCUCUGACGUUAGCGGCGGACGGGAGAGUAACACGUGUAUAACCUACCUAUAAGACUGGGAUAACUACGGGAAACCGGAUCUAAUACCGGAUGAUAUAUUGAAGCACAUUGUUCAAUAGUGAGAUUCGGUUUUUGUUGCACUUAUCGAUGGAUCAGCGCCGCAUGGGCUAGUUGUUAAGGAAACGGCUUACCAAGGUGAGGAUGCGUAGCCGGCCUCAGCGGGAGGUAGGACACCUUGGAACAGAGCAAGGGUCCAGACUCCUACGGGAGGACGCAGUCGGGAAUCUUACGCAAUGGGGGAGAGCCUGACAGAGCAGAGGCGGGUGAGUGAUGAAGGUGUCCGGCCCGGAAAACCCUGUUAUUAGGGAAGAACAAAUGUGUAAGUAGCUAUGAACGUAUUGACGGUACCUAAUGAGAAAGCCACGGCUAACUACGUG
rnacentral:rRNA from 1 species